CCGACCUUAGUUCAGUUGGUAGAGCGGAGGACUGUAGUAGUGUAACUCACAGCAAUCCUUAGGUCGCUGGAUCGAAUCCUGCAGGUCGGA
rfam:Gossypium hirsutum cultivar TM-1 chromosome 10, whole genome shotgun sequence